GGAUGUUAAGGCUCAUAUCUUUAAUUUGAAGUUGGAAUUAGUGAGUCAUUAUGUUCCAAAAAAGUAGUUCAUUAUGAUUUUCAGUAGUGAUAAGGCAAAUGGGAUGUCAUUUGAGCUGGUGAAUUCAGAAGAAUAGGAGGAAGAUAUUGUGGAGAUAUUGUGGAGAUAUUGUUUCAACUCUUGAGGAGGUGCCAAAAACUUACCAAGUUACCAUAAAGAUAAUUAAACUAAAUAAAUUAUAUACAUGUGUCAUUUAUUCUAACAAACACCUAAAGGUCUUAAACAAUUAUAAACUAAAAAAUUAUCUCUAAUAUGCUAAUUUAUUUUAUAAUAUACCAUGUAUUUAAUUAAAUUUAAUUUACAUGCCAAACAUAGAUAAAAAUACAAAUAAAAUUAAUUUUGGUAUUUAUUGAAUAAAUUACUAUAUUAAAUACAAAAUUGUCAUUUCAAAAAAGUUUAAGGAAUACUUAUCUUUUAAUUAUUGUAGUUGCUAUUAGGGCAAACCACCAUUAAAGAAGAGUCUUCUCUUUUAGUAUAACAAGUUAAUCCUGUUUUACUCUCGUAAGCUCUACGCAAUUACCCUUUGGUACUUACCUUAAGGCUACU
rnacentral:misc_RNA from 1 species